UACGUAGGAUGCGAGCGUUGUCCGGAAUUACUGGGCGUAAAGAGCUCGUAGGUGGUUUGUCGCGUCGUCUGUGAAAUUCCGGGGCUUAACCUCGGGCGUGCAGGCGAUACGGGCAAUACUUGAGUGCUGUAGGGGAGACUGGAAUUCCUGGUGUAGCGGUGAAAUGCGCAGAUAUCCGGAGGAACACCGAUGGCGAAGGCAGGUCUCUGGGCAGUAACUGACGCUGAGGAGCGAAAGCAUGGGUAGCGAACAGGAUUAGA
rnacentral:rRNA from 1 species